rnacentral:rRNA from 1 species
AUUGAACGCUGGCGGCAGGCCUAACACAUGCAAGUCGAACGAGAGGCGGAGUGGCGGACAAUGUCUUGGAAACUGCCUGAUGGACGGGGAUAACUACGGUAAAAGGUAGCUAAUACCGCAAACCAUCAGAUGGGCCCAGGUGGGAUUAGCUAGUUGGUGGGGUAACGGCUCACCAAGGCGACGAGCCAUAGCAGGGCGGAGAGGAUGACCAGCCACACUGGAACUGAGACACGGUCCAGACUCCUACGGGAGGCAGCAGUGGGGAAUAUUCGACAAUGGGCGAAAGCCUGAUGCAGCCAUGCCGCGUGUAUGAAGAAGGCCUUCGGGUUGUAAAGUACUUUCAGCGGGGAGGCGUUACCCACAGAAGAAGCACCGGCUAACUCCGUGCCAGCAGCCGCGGUAAUUC